CUCUUGCUUUGUUUGUGCUUUUCGGCUCCAUUUUUAGCUUCCUCAAGAUCAUCACUAACCUCUCUCUCUCUCUCAAUCCCUCAUUCUGUGUUUGAUUCACUUCCAGCUCCUUCUUCCUACUUCAAUUCAAUAGAUUUCAUAGUGCGAUCGCUUAUUCGCCCCCAAUCCCGAUGCUUAGGGGUCGUCCUUCACCAAUUGCUAGGGUUUGUCGUACUUCGCCAGCUUCGGAGAUCUGCUAGAUCUUACUGAGAGUUGACGCAAAUGCCAGAUCUGGGUGAAAAGGGAUCAAUGGAUUGUUCCGACGGAGCUUCAGUGGAGGGGAAGAAGACAUGCUCUGAUUAGCUCUUGCCUUUUUUGUUUCUCGUUUAGGGUUUUUUUGAAUUUUAUUGCUUUGCAGUGAAGUAAUGAUCUCCGGAGAUCUGUGGGUUUUGGUGUAGAGGUGGAAGAGCCAUCAUCAUCUGUCUUCAAAGACGAUCAUGGAUCGAUGGUCUUCGGUGCAGAGGUGGAAGAGCCAUCAUCCGUCGUUGAAGACGAUCGCAAUCUCCGCGAUGAUCACGCCAUUCCUCAGUCUCGGUGAUUACUGAAUUCGACUCUCCUCUAGGGAUUAUCUUCUCAGUUUUUCCGUGCGUUGGUUUUUUUGCUAAUUUGUCUGCGAUUUUGAGGUUGCUCCAAUGCGUGUUUCUAACUUCAUCUCUUUCAUAAACAGUCUCUGUGCAAUGCGUGCAGGAUCAAGAGCAAGAGGAAGAGGCGGGCUGUGAUGAACAAGAUCAGAGUGGAGAUUAAGAAGGCGAAGCGCAGCAACAGCAGCAACGGUGGUUCCUUGAAGCGGAGGGUCUUGGCCCGAGGAAGAGAAGUGUUGAUGUAGAGACCGUCAUCCUACCUAAGCGAAGUACAGUAGCACUUGAAGUGAAAAGCGGGCUUUAGCGAGGAAAGCCUAAGCCUAUUGUUAGCUGUUGAGUUGAAUGUUUUUGUUUGUGGGAAGCCAUCCCCUGGAUGUUGGGAUGUUCUAGUUGGUUAUUUUAAUUGACCAAAUGUAAAUACGAAGUUUAAUAUCAAUGGACUUUAUUUUGUCUA